rnacentral:rRNA from 1 species
AGCAGCCGCGGUAAUUCCAGCUCCAAUAGCGUAUAUUAAAGUUGUUGCAGUUAAAAAGCUCGUAGUUGAAUUUCGGGGUCAGUAGGUUGGUCGUGCCACUGGUAUGUAUUGGUCUCACUGAUUCCUCCUUCCUGAUGAACCGUAAUGCCAUUAAUUUGGUGUUGCAGGGAAACUGGACUGUUACUUUGAAAAAUUGAGUGUUUAAAGCAAGCUAACGCUUGAAUACAUUAGCAUGGAAUAAUGAAAUAGGACGAUCGAUCCUAUUUGUGGUUUCUAGGAUUGCCGUAAUGAUUAAUAGGGAUAGUUGGGGGCAUUAGUAUUCAAUUGUCAGAGGUGAAAUUCUUGGGUUUAUUGAAGCUAACUACUGCGAAAGCAUUUGCCAAGGAUGUUUUCAUUAAUCAAGAACGAAAGUUAGGGGAUCGAAGACGAUCAGAUACCGUCGUAGUCUUA